UGCUUUUGUGUGUGAUUCCUUAAACGCGUUCACGUUGCUGAAAAAUAAUAAUACAAAUACUAAACCGAUAAUAAUACGAUUCGUGACCAGAUAAUGCAAAUAGCGCCAAUCAAUGAUAAGUUAUCAGCCAGCAUAAAAGGCAAUGCCAUUCGCCUGGAACUAAACAAAAUUCGAUAAUUCUAAUGAAUACGCUGAUAAGGAGGAACAGGCCACAGGAAAAUAAAUCAAUAAUUAAAAUAAAGCGUUAAUCAACUGCACCGAACCCCCUCCCACAAAAAUACAAAACUGAUAACAGACUUCAACAAAUGCCAAAUUUUAAAUAAUUUAGUAAA